rnacentral:rRNA from 1 species
GAAGACGGUCAGAGUAAGCAGGAAACACCCGUUCCCAUCCCGAACACGGAAGUUAAGCUGCUUACGUUAUGCAUUGUACUGGCUUCGGUCGGGAAGUGCAUAAACUGUCUUCG